UACGAAGGGAGCUAGCGUUGUUCGGAAUCACUGGGCGUAAAGCGCACGUAGGCGGAUGUGCCAGUCAGGGGUGAAAUCCCGGAGCUCAACUUCGGAACUGCCCUUGAUACAGCACGUCUUGAGUCCGAGAGAGGUGAGUGGAAUUCCUAGUGUAGAGGUGAAAUUCGUAGAUAUUAGGAAGAACACCGGUGGCGAAGGCGGCUCACUGGCUCGGUACUGACGCUGAGGUGCGAAAGCGUGGGGAGCAAACAGGAUUAGAAACCCUGGUAGU
rnacentral:rRNA from 1 species